GAUGAACGCUUUCUUCAUUCCUAAUACAUGCAAGUCGAACGAACAGAUGAGGAGCUUUCCCCUCUGACGUUAGCGGCGGACGGGUGAGUAACACGUGUAUAACCUACCUAUAAGACUGGGAUAACUUCGGCAAACCGUACCUAAUACCGGAAAAUUUAUUGAACCGCAUGGUUCAAUAGUUAAAGACGGUUUUGCUGUCACUUAUAGAUUGAUCCGCGCCGCAUUAGCUAGUUGGUAAGGUAACGGCUUACCAAGGCAACGAUGCGUAGCCGACCUGAGAGGGUGAUCGGCCACACUGGAACUGAGACACGGCCCAGACUCCUACGGGAGGCAGCAGUAGGGAAUCUUCCGCAAUGGGCGAAAGCCUGACGGAGCAACGCCGCGUGAGUGAUGAAGGUCUUCGGAUCGUAAAACUCUGUUGGCAGGGAAGAACAAAUGUGUAAGUAACUAUGCACUUCAUGACGGUACCUGAUCAGAAAGCCACGGCUAACUACGUG
rnacentral:rRNA from 1 species